GCAUUAGUUGGAACCUGAUUUUCCCUAAACUGACGGCGUGGGUUUCUGCCUGGGGGCUGUUGAUCUUAGGAGGAAAAGCAGUUAAGAAAGCCCAGGUGGAGAGAGCCUUGGAAUUGAGGACAUUUUACGUGGGGGAGCAGGUGACUCUCCUUCCUAACACAGUCAUUUGAGGGAAACCCAGCCUGUCAGUGAGAGGCUAAGCUCAGAAACACACUCUGUGUUCAAGCUCUUACUUGGCCACUUACUAAUUGUAUGGUUUUGGGAUCUCACUUAUUUCUCGUUUGGAAUGUGGAAAGUGGGAAUAACGUGAAUAAAAUCCUUUCCUGUAAGAUACGUAUGGGACAAAGUUCUACACAGAGCGGGCAAGAAAGCCUGGGCCAACAAGUUCAAGAUAGAAGAGCCGGUGAGGACGAGUUAGAUGAGCACCCGAGACUUCUGAAACCCCAGAUCCUCUUCCCGUUGUGCCAGAGCUGCCUGGACUUCCUGGGUGACAUAAGCUGAGUUCCUUGGCAAGGCUGGCCUCGGUUUCUCUCAGAUGAGAAGGUGAAGAUCUGAGCAAUCCCGCGUAAGGCAUUUUGUGGAAUCCUACCAUGAUUAAACUCAACACCUCUGGGAAGAGGAGGGCAUGAGACUGAGCCUUGACUUACCCACUAUGAAAGAACUUGACUAGCUCUUAACCACUGCAAACUUCAAUUUCGUCACCUGGAAAAUGAAAGCAAAUUUAUCUGUCUCAUAGGGUUGUUUGGAUUUUCCUAGAUAAAGCGUAUGGCCAAUAUCUAGCAUAUCAUGCAGUGCUCGGGCAAUAUUAGUGUUGUUAUCUCCAGUUUACAAAUGCAGACUGGGAGGCCUCAGCAGAGUAAGUGGCAUGUUCAGAGUCACCUAGGUGGAAAGCAUAGGAACCACAGCUCAAGGUCAAGUGUGAUUGACAGCAGUGUCCUUGCUCUUAAUCACAGGCAUCCUGCCAGAAGUGGACAAUUUCCUCAGGAAGCCUUGCUCAGCUGGGAUGAUAGGGACAGGUUGGGUCCUCAGUCUUCCUUAAGAAGCAGAAACUUCUAGGCUGGAAGUGUAGAGGAGAGGACCCUGGGACAGCCAAGUCAUGCAGAAUUAUGGCUGGCAUCAAGGACAUGUGUCUUUGGUGUUGUUUGUUGCUCUGGGUGGUGAGGUACCCAAAGAGGCCACCUCAUCAGUGCAUUGCUUUAAUCUUGACUCGCCCUGUCGUCAGUCCUUAGAAGGAUGUCGGAAAGGACUGGACUUACUGUGUCACUCCAUAGGAUGCAGCCUGUCCAGUUACAGGUGGAAUAGUCUAUGCUGCAAGGAUGUCCUUUCCCUCUGUCCACCAGUUCACCCUCUUUCUUAUCUCCCUCUCUCUCUUUCUCUGCCUGGCUCUCACUCUUGCUCUGUCUCAGACAUCUAAUGGAAAGAACUAGUUGCAGUCUAGUAUAUUUUGUAAAAUAUAUUUUGAUUUUUAAUUGAUUAUAGUAAUUAUCCAUAUUUAUAGGGUACAGUGUGACAUUAUAAUACAUGUAUACAAGAUGUAUUAAUCAGGCCAGAGUAAUUGGUGUACCUAUUAUCUGAGACAUUUGUCCAUUCUUUGCUUUAGGAACAUUCAAGAUCCUCUCUAAUAGCUAUUUUAAAUUAUUCAAUUAAUUAUUGUCAACUUAAUUAAUCUAUUGUGCUAUAGAACACAAAAAGUUAUUAGUCCUAUACAGCUGCACCCAGUAAGCAUACUGUCUCCCACAUCUUUUCCAGGCUCUGGUAUCCACUGUUCUUUACUUCUAUGAGAUCAACUUUUUAGCUUCUACUAAUGAAUUGGAACAUGCAUUAUUUAUCUUUCCAUGUCUGACUUAUUCCAUUUAACCUGAUGUCCUCUAGUUCCAUCUGUGUUGCUCCAAAUGUCCAAAUUUCCUUUUUUGACUGGGUAAUAUUUCAUUUUGUAUAUAUGCCACAUUUUCUUUAUCUCCUUAUCCAUCACCAUCAACUUAGGUUUAGUUCAUUUGUUGGCUGCUGUGAAUAGACCCAUAGUAAACAACACAGGACAGGUUAUCUCUUCCACACUCUGUUUUCAGUUACUUUGAAUAUAUAGCAACGGGUGGGAUUCCUGGAUCAUAUGGUAAUUCUAUUUCUAGUUUUCUGAG
ensembl:lncRNA